rnacentral:rRNA from 1 species
UACAGAGGGUGCGAGCGUUAAUCGGAAUUACUGGGCGUAAAGGGCGCGUAGGUGGUUUGUUAAGUGAGAUGUGAAAGCCCUGGGCUUAACCUAGGAAUUGCAUCUUAAACUGAUGAACUUGAGUACUGUAGAGGAUAGUGGAAUUUCCGGUGUAGCGGUGAAAUGCGUAGAUAUCGGAAGGAACACCAGUGGCGAAGGCGGCUAUCUGGACAGAUACUGACACUGAGGCGCGAAAGCGUGGGGAGCAAACAGG